UCGAGAAUCUUCCGCAAUGGACGAAAGUCUGACGGAGCGACGCCGCGUGCGGGAUGAAGGCCUUCGGGUUGUAAACCGCUGUCAGAGGGGAGCAAAUUUUGAGCGAUCCUCAGAGGAAGCACAGGCUAAGUUCGUGCCAGCAGCCGCGGUAAUACGAACUGUGCGAACGUUAUUCGGAAUCACUGGGCUUAAAGGGUGCGUAGGCGGGUUGGUAGGUCAGAUGUGAAAGCCCACGGCUCAACCGUGGAACUGCGUUUGAAACCACCAGUCUUGAGGGAGAUAGAGGAGAGCGGAACUGAUGGUGGAGCGGUGAAAUGCGUUGAUAUCAUCAGGAACACCGGUGGCGAAAGCGGCUCUCUGGAUCUCUUCUGACGCUGAGGCACGAAAGCUAGGGGAGCGAACGGGAUUAGAUACCCCCGUAGUCC
rnacentral:rRNA from 1 species